AUUGAACGCUGGCGGCAUGCCUUACACAUGCAAGUCGAACGGCAGCACGGGAGCAAUCCUGGUGGCGAGUGGCGAACGGGUGAGUAAUGUAUCGGAACGUACCUUUCAGUGGGGGAUAACGUAGCGAAAGUUACGCUAAUAUCGCAUAUUCUGUGAGCAGGAAAGCAGGGGAUCGCAAGACCUUGCGCUGAUUGAGCGGCCGAUAUCAGAUUAGCUAGUUGGUGAGGUAAAGGCUCACCAAGGCGACGAUCUGUAGCGGGUCUGAGAGGAUGAUCCGCCACACUGGAACUGAGACACGGUCCAGACUCCUACGGGAGGCAGCAGUGGGGAAUUUUGGACAAUGGGCGCAAGCCUGAUCCAGCCAUGCCGCGUGAGUGAAGAAGGCC
rnacentral:rRNA from 1 species